UGAGCACAGACUGAAUGACUCAGUGACGCUUGGAUCAGCUGAGAUCAAAUUCUCAAGCAAACAGAUGGCUGGGGAUAUUCAGUAACAACGGUGAGGAGAGAGAGGAACAAUUCACAUUCGAAGUGACCCUUCCUCAGAAACGGCCUGUUCUGAAGGAACUUUCCCACAGAAAUCACUGGAUUGAAAGCUUCUGGCAACAAAUGGACACAAACCGAUCAAAGGUGAAAGUUACGGUGAACCAGACAGAGCAGUCAGUGGCUGCAUAAAGCAGGAAGGCGUGGAUAUUACACACGGGGACAGAGUCCCACAGGAAAUAAAACUGUUCCCGAUAAACAAUGGGAAUGUGUCUCAGGAUCAGGUCGAGGAUAAUGACCAGGAGAUCCGCCGCUGCCAUGGCCCCCAGGUAUCUGUGUUAGCUGUUUGAAUUCAGAAUUGGCUGGCCAACAGAAGACAACGAGUGGUAGUGGAAGAAAAAUAUUCUGCC